rnacentral:pre_miRNA from 1 species
GGGGGGAGAGCUGGAUCCUGGGCUGUGGUCCCCGGUGCCCCUGGGUUCCUGGGCCUGCUCGGCUGGAAUCCCGCUCCCAGGGCUGCGCAGCUCCCU